UGGGGAAUAUUGGACAAUGGGCGAAAGCCUGAUCCAGCGACGCCGCGUGGGUGAAGAAGGCCUGCGGGUUGUAAAGCCCUUUCAGUGGGGAAGAAAAGUCUCGACCUAACACGUCGGGAUCUUGACGUAACCCAUAGAAGAAGCACCGGCUAACUCUGUGCCAGCAGCCGCGGUAAUACAGAGGGUGCGAGCGUUAAUCGGAAUUACUGGGCGUAAAGCGCGCGUAGGCGGCUUCGCAAGUCGGAUGUGAAAUCCCCGGGCUCAACCUGGGAACUGCAUUCGAGACUGCGUUGCUAGAGUAUGGGAGAGGGAAGUGGAAUUUCCGGUGUAGCGGUGAAAUGCGUAGAUAUCGGAAGGAACAUCAGUGGCGAAAGCGACUUCCUGGACCAAUACUGACGCUCAUGUGCGAAAGCGUGGGGAGCAAACA
rnacentral:rRNA from 1 species